rnacentral:rRNA from 1 species
UACGGGGGGGGCAAGCGUUGUUCGGAAUUACUGGGCGUAAAGGGCUCGUAGGCGGCCAACUAAGACAGACGUGAAAUCCCUCGGCUUAACCGGGGAACUGCGUCUGAUACUGGAUGGCUUGAGUUUGGGAGAGGGAUGCGGAAUUCCAGGUGUAGCGGUGAAAUGCGUAGAUAUCUGGAGGAACACCGGUGGCGAAGGCGGCAUCCUGGACCAACACUGACGCUGAGGAGCGAAAGCCAGGGGAGCAAACGGG